AUUGAACGCUGGCGGCAGGCCUAACACAUGCAAGUCGAACGAGUGGCGGACGGGUGAGUAAUGUCUGGGACACUGCCUGAUGGAGGGGGAUAACUACGGGAAACGGUAGCUAAUACCGCAUACCAUCGGAUGUGCCCAGCUGGUAUGAGUGAGUAGGUGGGGUAAGGGCUCACCUAGGCGACGCUCCCUAGCUGGUCUGAGAGGAUGACCAGCCACACGGGAACUGAGACACGGUCAAUACUCCUACGGGAGGCAGCAGUGGGGAAUAUGGCACAAUGGGCGCAAGCCUGAUGCAGCCAUGCCGCGUGUAUGAAGAAGGCCUUCGGGUUGUAAAGUACUUUCAGCGGGGAGGCGUUACCCGAAGAAGAAGCACCGGCUAACUCCGUGCCAGCAGCCGCGGUAAUUC
rnacentral:rRNA from 1 species